GGAUCGGUAGCUCAGUGGUAGAGCGUGGGAUUGCAGUCUUUCAGCAGUCAUCCUAAGGUCUCGUGUUCGACCCACGAUCGGUCCU
rnacentral:tRNA from 1 species